rnacentral:rRNA from 1 species
GAUGAACGCUGGCGGCGUGCCUAAUACAUGCAAGUCGAGCGAACAGAUAAGGAGCUUGCUCCUUUGACGUUAGCGGCGGACGGGUGAGUAACACGUGGGUAACCUACCUAUAAGACUGGGAUAACUUCGGGAAACCGGAGCUAAUACCGGAUAAUAUUUCGAACCGCAUGGUUCGAUAGUGAAAGAUGGUUUUGCUAUCACUUAUAGAUGGACCCGCGCCGUAUUAGCUAGUUGGUAAGGUAACGGGUUACCAAGGCGACGAUACGUAGCCGACCUGAGAGGGUGAUCGGCCACACUGGAACUGAGACACGGUCCAGACUCCUACGGGAGGCAGCAGUAGGGAAUCUUCCGCAAUGGGCGAAAGCCUGACGGAGCAACGCCGCGUGAGUGAUGAAGGUCUUCGGAUCGUAAAACUCUGUUAUUAGGGAAGAACAUACGUGUAAGUAACUGUGCACGUCUUGACGGUACCUAAUCAGAAAGCCACGGCUAACUACGUG